UGCGUGAGAGGCUCAGCAGCCAGCUGCACCAUGGGUAGGGUGAAGAGGUAGUGAGAGGUCACUGAUAAGGCUAGACUCCUCAACAGACUGGAAGCCCAGGGCCUUCAGGGUUUCUGGAGCAUGUAUAGAGUGAGGAACUGCAGCUUGUAGGAAUGCAGAAUGGAGAAACUGGAGCACAAAUGGCUAUAACUUGGAUAGGACCGGGCACAGUCUUCCUAUGUUAUCCUGGAUGCCUUGGAAUUCACCAUGUAGAUCAGGUCCUAUGAUUGGUGGAUCCGCCCAUGAGCUGUCACUGAGGUGCAAGCAAUCCUCCCUCUGCAUUUUGUACCCAGGGGCUACCAACCUCUUCUCCAGUUAUAUUAUCGAGCUAUUCAGUUCAUUUUAAAGCCAGCUGAAAGACAAAUCUCAUGUGGCACCCUGCAGAGGGGCAACAUUAAGCCUGGUAAAAGGUUUCUCUGGAAUGGUCUUCCCUUGCUCACUUGAGACUUGUAUUAGGGGCAGAGCCGCCUGUGAUAGCGCAAAGAUGGUGUCAGCAGAGGAAGCAGCGGCUGCCGCCGCCUGGAUGAUGCAGCAGCACUGGUAGCAGUGAGAAGGCAGUGGAAGAGCAGAGAUCCAACAGAGAGCAGAAGGAACUGAGGUGAUGAAAGAAGCUGGGAAGAAGUGGGAAGCCAAUGUCGUAGAAGGCUCGGAAGACAAGAAACUGCAUGUUCAAAGCCAUCAAAUGGUUCCGGGGAGCUGCUGAGACCCAAGAGCCAAUGAUCAAGAUCUCCCAGAUGCAGGGGUUGUAAUGCCUUCACUUUUAGGAGCUAAGUGUCUACACACAAGACGCCUUCGGAUGCUACAGAGAUAGGGUUGAUAGUUACUGAGUACAGGGCCACUGAGAGUCAAGGUCCAGAAUAGAACCAUCAGCACUGGACAGAGCACCCGGAACAGCAAAUCUCUCUGCAUCAUAGUGUCCAGUUCAAGGACCCAGAGCCACGAGCGUCUUCGGAUCCAUUACUCCAGCCCAUGUAUGGAACCUUAGCACUCAAGAGCCCAGAGCCUCAGACGAUGACUCAGCCAACCUUUGCCUCUUUGCAGUUCUCAUCAUGGUAGUGCAAACGAUUCCCCAGCCAGAUGAUUGAUGGGUCAAACUGGAAUCCUGGGAUGGAGGCGUGGCUCAGCAGGUAGCGUGAUUGCUUAACAUGCACAAAACCCUGGGUUUGAUCCCUGGCAUGGAGCAACUAGAGAGUAAUGGUGCCUAUGAGCCCAGCACCUUGGAAGAACGGAAAGAUCAUGAGUUCAAAGCCAGUAUAGAUGCAUAGGGAUUUCAAUGCUCUUGUGGGAUAUUUGAGACUCUGUCUAAAAGAGAGAAAGCUCACGUGGUUAUUUCCAAAUUGGUCAGCCAUGAUGGUUUUUUAAUUAUAAGAGUAAAGUUGCCAUUAACAUUUA